rnacentral:rRNA from 3 species
ACGACCAUAGGGUGUGGAAAACAGGGCUUCCCGUCCGCUCAGCCGUACUUAAGCCACACGCCGGGAGGUUAGUAGUUGGGUGGGUGACCACCAGCGAAUCCCUUCUGUUGUAUGUU